CCCUUAGAUGUCCGGGGCUGCACGCGCGCUACACUGAAGGAAUCAGCGUGCUAAAACCAUUGUCGAAGGGCAUUGGUAAACCCAUUAAAAUCCUACGUGAUUGGGAUCGGGAAUUGCAAUUAUUUCCCUUGAACGAGGAAUUCCCAGUAAGUGUGGGUCAUAAGCUCGCGUUGAUUACGUCCCUGCCCUUUGUACACACCGCCCGUCGCUGCCCGGGACUGAGCCGUUUCGAGAAAAGCGGGGACUGCUGCUGUCGGGGCUUUCGGGCCUUGGCUUCGGUGGAAACCGCUUUAAUCGCAGUGGCUUGAACCGGGCAAAANUCGUANCA
rnacentral:rRNA from 1 species